UUUUCACCGUCAGAAGCGGAGAUCCUCAUGGAAGCAUAUGAAGAGGUGAAAGAUCAAAUCAGAAAGAAAGGCAACACAGCAUCAAUAAUUAAACAGCGCCAAAAAGCUUGGGAAACCAUUGCAGAUCGCCUGAAUGCCAAGUAAAAGUCAAAUACAAGAACAUCUUGCAGAAUGCCGUCAAAAAGAGAGGCCAAAUACAA